rnacentral:rRNA from 1 species
AUUGAACGCUGGCGGCAGGCUUAACACAUGCAAGUCGAGCGGGGUGAUGGUGCUUGCACUAUCACUUAGCGGCGGACGGGUGAGUAAUGCUUCGGAAUCUGCCUAUUAGUGGGGGACAACAUCUCGAAAGGGAUGCUAAUACCGCAUACGUCCUACGGGAGAAAGCAGGGGAUCACUUGUGACCUUGCGCUACUAGAUGAGCCUAAGUCGGAUUCGCUAGUUAGUGGGGUAAAGGCCUACCAAGGCGACGAUCUAGAGCGGGUCUGAGAGGAUGAUCCGCCACACUGGGACUGGGACACGGCCGAGACUCCUACGGGAGGCAGCAGUGGGGAAUAUUGGACAAUGGGGGGAACCCUGAUCCAGCCAUGCCGCGUGUGUGAAGAAGGCCUUAUGGCUGUAAAGCACUUUAAGCGAGGAGGAGGCUCUUUUGGUUAAUACCCAAGAUGAGUGGACGUUACUCGCAGAAUAAGCACCGGCUAACUCUGUGCCAGCAGCCGCCGUAA